GCAGACUAGAGUGUGGUAGGGGAGACUGGAAUUCCUGGUGUAGCGGUGAAAUGCGCAGAUAUCAGGAGGAACACCGAUGGCGAAGGCAGGUCUCUGGGCCACUACUGACGCUGAGAAGCGAAAGCAUGGGGAGCGAACAGGAUUAGAUACCCUGGUAGUCCAUGCCGUAAACGUUGGGCGCUAGGUGUGGGACUCAUUCCACGAGUUCCGUGCCGCAGCUAACGCAUUAAGCGCCCCGCCUGGGGAGUACGGCCGCAAGGCUAAAACUCAAAGGAAUUGACGGGGGCCCGCACAAGCGGCGGAGCAUGCGGAUUAAUUCGAUGCAACGCGAAGAACCUUACCAAGGCUUGACAUAUACCGGAAACAUCCAGAGAUGGGUGCCCCUUUUGGUCGGUAUACAGGUGGUGCAUGGUUGUCGUCAGCUCGUGUCGUGAGAUGUUGGGUUAAGUCCCGCAACGAGCGCAACCCUCGUUCUAUGUUGCCAGCACGUGAUGGUGGGGACUCAUAGGAGACUGCCGGGGUCAACUCGGAGGAAGGUGGGGAUGACGUCAAAUCAUCAUGCCCCUUAUGUCUUGGGCUUCACGCAUGCUACAAUGGCCGGUACAAAGGGCUGCGAUACCGCAAGGUGGAGCGAAUCCCAAAAAACCGGUCUCAGUUCGGAUUGGGGUCUGCAACUCGACCCCAUGAAGUCGGAGUCGCUAGUAAUCGCAGAUCAGCAACGCUGCGGUGAAUACGUUCCCGGGCCUUGUACACACCGCCCGUCAAGUCACGAAAGUCGGUAACACCCGAAGCCGG
rnacentral:rRNA from 1 species